CCACUCGCGCUCCUUUGGCAGCCUCACCUCCCUCGCCAACCUCACCGCUUUAGACAGCGCCAGCCAACAGCAGCGUUUUGUGACCCAUUCUGUUUUCCAGUCUUGUUAUAUGGAUUUUUCUCUCUCCCCAAGUAAUUCCUCAGCAUCCCCUUGGAUGGCAUCUACGGCACGUAAUUUUUUCAAACUACAACGCUGAAUCCUUUCCCCUAAUCAAAAUGGCUCCAGCACAGCUGUUCUCUAGAAGACAUCCUCCCUGAUUUCUUACAGGGCCUGUAAGAUAAUUGAAGUUGCAG